GACGAACGCUGGCGGCGUGCUUAACACAUGCAAGUCGAACGGUAAGGCCCUUCGGGGUACACGAGUGGCGAACGGGUGAGUAACACGUGGGUGAUCUGCCCUGCACUCCGGGAUAAGCCUGGGAAACUGGGUCUAAUACCGGAUAGGACCACUGCCUGCAUGGGUGGUGGUGGAAAGCUUUUGCGGUGUGGGAUGGGCCCGCGGCCUCUCAGCUGGUUGGUGGGGUGAUGGCCUACCAAGGCGACGACGGGUAGCCGGCCUGAGAGGGUGAACGGACACGCUGGGACUGAGACACGUCCCCGACUCCUACGGGAGGCAGCAGUGGGGAAUCUUGCACAAUGGGCGCAAGCCUGACGCAGCGGAGCCGCGUGACGGAUGACGGACUUCGGGUUGUAAACCUCGUUCAGCACCGACGAAGCGCAAGUGACGGUAGGUGCAGAAGAAGGACCGGCCAACUACGUGCCAGCAGCCGCAGUAA
rnacentral:rRNA from 1 species